GAUGAACGCUGGCGGCAUGCCUAAUACAUGCAAGUCGAGCGAACACACGAUAAGCUUUCGCCUCUACCGUUGGCGGCGGACGGGUGGGUAACACGUACAUAACCUACCUAUUUUACGUGGGUAACUUCGUGAAGCCACUUCCACUACCAGCUAAUAUAUCCUACGGCUUGGAUCAAUAGUUCUUGGCGGCUUGCCCGAUUCAUUUAGACGGAGUCGUGUCGCAUUAGCUAGUUGGUAAGGUAACGGCUUACCAAGGCAACGAUGCGUAGCCGAUCUGAGAGGGUGAUCGGCCACACUGGAACUGAGACACGGUCCAGACUCCUACGGGAGGCAGCAGUAGGGAAUAUUGGGCAAUGGGCGAAAGCCUGACCGAGCAACGCCGCGUGAGUGAUGAAGGUCUUCGGAUUGUAAAGCUCUGUUAUUAGGAAAGAAAAGCAGCAUGAGAAAAUAUGGCCGUUUUGACGGUACCUAAUCAGAAAGCAACGGCUAACUACGUG
rnacentral:rRNA from 1 species